GACGAACGCUGGCGGCGUGCCUAAUACAUGCAAGUUGAGCGCUGAAGGUUGGUACUUGUACCAACUGGAUGAGCAGCGAACGGGUGAGUAACGCGUGGGGAAUCUGCCUUUGAGCGGGGGACAGCAUUUGGAAACGAAUGCUAAUACCGCAUAAAAACUUUAAACACAAGUUUUAAGUUUGAAAGAUGCAAUUGCAUCACUCAAAGAUGAUCCCGCGUUGUAUUAGCUAGUUGGUGAGGUAAAGGCUCACCAAGGCGAUGAUACAUAGCCGACCUGAGAGGGUGAUCGGCCACAUUGGGACUGGGACACGGCCCAAACUCCUACGGGAGGCAGCAGUAGGGAAUCUUCGGCAAUGGACGAAAGUCUGACCGAGCAACGCCGCGUGAGUGAAGAAGGUUUUCGGAUCGUAAAACUCUGUUGGUAGAGAAGAACGUUGGUGAGAGUGGAAAGCUCAUCAAGUGACGGUAACUACCCAGAAAGGGACGGCUAACUACGUG
rnacentral:rRNA from 1 species